AUUGAACGCUGGCGGCAGGCCUAACACAUGCAAGUCGAGCGGAUGAAGGGAGCUUGCUCCUGGAUUCCGCGGCGGACGGGUGAGUAAUGCCUAGGAAUCUGCCUGGUAGUGGGGGAUAACGUCCGGAAACGGGCGCUAAUACCGCAUACGUCCUGAGGGAGCAAGUGGGGGAUCUUCGGACCUCACGCUAUCAGAUGAGCCUAGGUCGGAUUAGCUAGUUGGUGGGGUAAAGGCCUACCAAGGCGACGAUCCGUAACUGGUCUGAGAGGAUGAUCAGUCACACUGGAACUGAGACACGGUCCAGACUCCUACGGGAGGCAGCAGUGGGGAAUAUUGGACAACGGGCGAAAGCCUGAUACAGCCAUGCCGCGUGUGUGAAGAAGGUCUUCGGAUUGUAAAGCACUUUAAGUUGGGAGGAAGGGCAGUAAGUUAAUACCUUGCUGUUUUGACGUUAACAACAGAAUAAGCACCGGCUAACUUCGUG
rnacentral:rRNA from 1 species